UGUGCCUACAAUCCGUCAAAGCCUCCUUGUGGGGUGAUGGCGUGCCUUUUGAAGAAUGAGCCUGCGAGUCAGGGACACGUCGCGAGGUUAACCCGUGUGGGGUAGCCGUAGCGAAAGCGAGUCUGAAUAGGGCGCCCAUAGUGGCGUGUUCUGGACCCGAAGCGGAGUGAUCUACCCAUGGCCAGGGUGAAGCGGCGGUAAGACGCCGUGGAGG
rnacentral:rRNA from 1 species